UCUCACGUUUAGAUCUGGGGGCGCCGGUGGUACCGGUGUUUGCACCGGUAGUACCGGCCAGUGUUCUGUACUCUAGUAUAAAUAGCUUUCCCCUCUUUUCUAACCGUUGGCUUGCUUAUUCCAGCUACUCCACCUCUGAGAAAACAGUCUCCAAGCUUUAGCUCACCCACUCUCUCUCUCCCUCUUGCUCCUAGACUUCAUUUCUUGAGAGAUUCGAGCUAGAGAAGUGAGAUUAGAGAGUUGGGAGCAUCGAUCUGCAACUUGAGCACUCCGUUCCUCGCCUUGCCGGUUUGGUUUGUGUUUGUUACUCUUGGGUUCUUGGAACCCUAGCCGGCUAGGCGUUCUUCGUUGUUGCCCGUGUUGACUCAUUUGUGAGGGCACCCCGAAGUUUUUGUAUUACCCUUUGAUUCUUAGUGGAAACAUCGAGCUAACCUCUGUGGUUGCUUGAGGAGGAGACCUAAGUGGUCAGACCUUCAUGGUCACCUCAACAACGGGGACGUAGGUACUCCUAAGUGGAGAUUGCCGAACCUCGGGAAAAAUACCUUGUCUUGCUGUGGAGGUAGCUUCGACUACCCUUGCUUGUGUUCUUUGUGUUCCUCUCUCUCUUCCUUCUUUCAACAGGUAAACAAAGGUCGAUCUACGGUUUGGUGAAGGAUUGAGCUAACGGAACUCCAACAACAUCCUCCUCUAUGCUUAGGAAAGUGGAGUAAAACUCAGAUCUGAAAUUUAAGCACUUUAUACUCAGAUUUCGUAGCUGUCUUAGGGAGUCGGUAGUACCAGCAGUUUGCGUCGGUAGUACUGGCUGUGUGACACCAGUAGUACCGGCCCAAACUGUCGGUGGUACCGACAGGCAUUUGAUUUCCGCAACUUGAGUUUUUGAGUUUCAGGUUUUUAAGAUACGCCUAUUCACCCCC
rnacentral:lncRNA from 1 species